CCGCCGCUCCGCCUCCCUAGCCGCCACCCGCCCUUCUCCUCCUCCAAGGUCCCAUCCCCAUCUCGUCGGUUGGCCUCCUCCAAGGACCUGCUGCUUCACCUCUCGUUUUUUCGCUGGGUAGGGGUGCAGAAGGCGGCACGAGCAAGCGGGAGCAGCGCCGCCGUCCGCCGCCGCACGACCAUCUCAGCAGCAACGACGCCUCGUUCCUUCUACUCCUCUCCCCUCCGCCCCUGUCCCGUAUGCGGCAUCGCGCACCUCUCCCCCUCCCCAUCGCGGCCGCUGCAUCGAGCCACCACCGCUCGAUCCGGUCGAGCAGGGAUGAACAGACGUAGUCAACUUCCAAGCGGAAGGCGUGGGGUCGAGCAGAUCUGGAGCUCCGUCCAGCAGCGACGAGGAUUGCAGCUCACAGGCGAAGCGCUCGCAGCCGGACAUCCACGGUGGUGCCCAGGCUCUGGCGACCACGAUUGAAGUUGAGUCCGUGAGGAAGGGGAGGAAGCAGAGAUGUUGAUGGAAAGGGAGAAGUCUAGAGGUUGAGGGAGGAGGAAGAGGAGGUCUCGGGCCAUGGUUCUCCAUGUGGUACAGCCAGGCCAUGUUGGACUAGCAGCAGAUCCAGUGGUUGAUGUUGUAUACGCCUGAUACAACUACUACUUAACAUCAGAAGGUCCCACUUCCUUUGCACCUAUGAUUGUGACUGAAUUGUGGAUAGUAGUGGUGGCCAAUCCCAUGUCCUUCUUAAGUUCUUAUAAUAGCAGAUGGAAAGGUUACACGCAGUGUUGACACAGGUAAUGGAUAGUUGAGCCCACAGGAAAGAAAAACUACAGAUGCCACUAUGAAAGCAAGUGACUACCUUUUGCCAGUUGUGAUUGUUGGAGUUGCUGAUGGGCCAUGGGACUUGAUGAGGCAAUUUGAUGACAACAUACCUUCUUGUGCAUUUAAUAAUUUUCAGCUCAGUCACAGAUGGAACCCCGAGCCGAUGGAAGAAUAGGAAGGUGCCCAAGAUCAAGGCGGGGAACAUCACAAUCUGGUAUCCAUGGUAGCGAUUUGAGCGGGCACAUCACAAUCUGGUAUCCAUGGUAGUGAUUCGAGCGGCAAACCCAAUCUUUGAUGUCGCUGAUGUAUUUUUUCUGUUACCAAUGAACCUGAUUGGUCUGGGUUUUCACUAUUGUUUCCCUGUUACCGAUUUUUUACUUCAGAGUUCAUAUAGCGACCCUUUCUUCAUGUGAACAAUAUGGUCAGGUCAGUUGAGGAGACCAUGUAUAUUGUUGAUUGCCAAUCGAUUCUACUCAUCCUUGCACUAGAUUUUAUGCCUAAAUGUAGACGUUUGUCCAGAUACCCCUACUCUGAAUAAUUUCAUGAGAAAUGAUGUUCUUCAGGUUUACUGUUGGUGACCAUGUCCCUGCGCACUUGCUGCCGACCACAUCCACGACUAGCUGCUGUCACUGAUGAUAUGGAUCAAUUUUGGUUCAAAUUGUUUCAUGAAUUUUCGGAUUGUCAUAUUUAUUUAAUUGUGAUAUCUUUGUGAUGUGGAGUUUUUGGAUUGCUAGAGAUUCUGCAGUCUGUAGCAGUAUUUCAAAUGUCUAUAGUUUUGGUAGCUCUGUAUAUCUAUUAAGAAUAUUGAAUUUCACUUUCUUAUUGAUUUUAUACUCCAGUGCAAGUUAGCUUAAGGUAAAGCUGUUGUUAUGUUGUUAGAAUGUCAUCAGGAAGACGUUUAGCCCCACAAGCAUCAACAGGGUACAUGGUGCUAAAUUGGAUGUUCUGUGAUUGAAAUGGUUCAUGUCUUGGCUACUUGAUCUGGUUUCCAGGUUUUGAUUCCAAUGAGGUCAAAUAAUGCUCCUGGGCAGCAAGGCUCAUAUCCAAUAAAGUAGUUCUACACUUCGAGCAUGCCCAUCAUUCUGCAUUCUACAUUGAUUACCAACAUGUAUUUUAUUUUCCAGCUUUUAUAUAGGAAGUACAGUAGAAAUUUCAUGGUUGACCUUCUCAGCAUAUGGAGAGAAUCUGCUGGUCAUUCUAUUACUGCUGGUGGUCCUUCUUACUAUGUGACUGCACCAUACAGGUGAACAUUUAAUUUCUUGUUGUUGCUACCUUUUUCCAUUUUGUUAUCUAGGUUUUGGCUACCCUAGCAAAUUAUAAAAUAUUGUUAUUCUUAACAUGUGCUGCAGUCAAUUUUGUACACAUUCAGGCUUUGUCUUGGUAAGAAAGUCUUGCUAUUUCUGGUUUUGGUAGUUAAGUUGAGGUUGAACAAAGAAUAUGACCGGGGUUGGACAAGGAAGUGUUCAGCUUUUUAACGGUGAACAAAUACUGCAUUUAUUGUUUAUUGGAGCCUUGUAUGAUUUAGUAAAUGUUUCUAAGACCCAGUUCAUUUUUUUAUUUUACUUGUUUCAUCGCCUAUCCUUGCAGAUGGAGAGCAGCCAAAAUAGUUAUUGACCAUUAGAUACCCCUUUGCCAUUUUCAGUACCUUUAUGGGCAAUAUUGCCUACUUUUGUCAGUCAGUUAUUCCCGCGAUACAUGAGAGAUUAAGUUUACAUUCUCGAGCUUCUCAUGUUGGAAGUAUAAUAACUCUUUAUCUCUGUAAUUUGUACAUUGAAUACGAUUCGAUUUGUUGUCUUACCAGCUGCGUGUGACCAGUAUGUUUACAGCUACAAUCGUCUACAAAUCGUCCUGUAUUAGAGGUUGGACUAGGCUACUAUUUUUCGUAUCUUUGGUCUCAUGGGUAAAUUGAUGUUUUUCUGAUGCGAUCUGACAUGGAUAUUUAGUUGUAUGGUCUCAGUUUUUUGAUUAUUUUUCAAAAUAUUAUUACCACGAGUCAUCUGUAGGAUUAACCCGCUCCCUCGUCUUAAUUAGAUGUCGUUCCGUGACCGGAGAAGAUGGAUGUUUCUAAGGCCUUGAGCUAUCCUAGAUGAUUAUUGUUAUCUGCUUAUGGAGCCUACCUGUGAUCUUUCUAAGGCCCCAGUGUAAGUGUUCUUUUAGCUCAUCACCUGCCUAUGAAGAAAAUUCCUUUUUGGCUCAUGAGGUACUCGUAUAUUUUAGGAAAGAUCACAUUGCAUUAGGCUUUGCCUUACUUUUAGAGCACAAAUUAAGUCUGAUUAUAUGAAAAUGGAUCCAGCCGUCAACUAAGAAAACAGAAAGUUGAAUCAUUCAUCUGAGGUAAACCAUUGCCUUAAAUUUUCUAUGAUGUAUUGUGACCUAUGGUUGUUUCUAUAGCAAGGAUUAUAGAAAAUUGCCAGGUAAUCAGUUAAAUCUUAUAGCAAUGAAUGGAACUAAUGAGGCUGGAUUUAUGCUUUCUGAAGGGAGGGGAGAACAGGCCAUCAGAAUGUCGAUCCCAAGGCUUACUGCAACUGGCCACAAAAGCAGCCGCGCUGCAACUCCUGGUUACUCAUACUCCUUAUGAACUGAGUUGUAUCCUUUACUCCUCUUGAUUCAUUGCGUGUUUUUAACAAUCUCCUGUCCGAUUGACAUUGUCUCACCGUAUUAUAUGGAAGGCAUGGUACCCAAAGUUUGUAGUGCUACUUGAGGCCAAAUAUUGAGAUGUAGUUGAAACACCUGUGAUAUACCCAAUCGAACCCAAGAAGCAUACAUCCAUGCUAUAUAAUAUAAUUAUUUUAGAUCAUAUAUAUAUGCGAUUUAGCUCAGGACGGUGCACAUGGUAUCUUUCCAACUGAAGUUUACAAUAUUCUUUCAUUGUUUCAGUGGGUAACCCAUUGACUCACGGAUUUCUGCAUUACUAUCCAUGAAAGUUAAUUUACUGGAUAUAUAUGAAGUAAGUGAGGUUCCUCUUAUGAGGUAGUACAAGGAUGGGGAUGGCCUUAUUUUUAGUAAAACUGAUCACUUAUUUAAGUGUGUCACUAUAUAGCUGGUGUUGCAGUUCUCCGCUUUGUCCGGCUGCCAUUGCCUAUUGUUCUCUUAGUCAUGUGUAAAUUGUUCUUUUUUGUAUUUUUCUGCAUGGUACUUCAAAUUUUCAAGUUAGUUUGUACACAAACUACGCAACUCUAUUUCCCAACAACAUACAGUACACUUGUGGUGUCCCUAGAUAUCUUUGUAAAUGAUGACAUGAAUGUCCAGCAAUCUACCCCUUUGAUGGUGUGUGCAGAAAAUAUCAAGUUAUGCCAUGGCCCUAGGUGUUGAUGUUUAUUUUCGUUCGUAUUGGAUCCAUCUCAACCAAUGGAAAUGGUGUAUAACAGAAGUACACCAUAUCGUUAUUGUCUCCUGCCCAGUUUCAACUAAUUAUAAACAUGCCUAGAUCUAUAAUAUCCUCAAUAUUUCUGUUAACCCCAUGCCUAUAUUCACGCUGCACUGGAUUUAGUUUUUCUUAGAUCUAAUAUUGCUGCUUAGUAUUACUGCAAUAUUCUUUUCGCAACUGUACUGUUGGUAGACAACUAUCCUAAAAACUGCAUUUUUUAAUUUAGAUUUUGUAUUUUCGAUACUGGUUUUUCUCUCAUGGAUUUUGUCUUCUUUCUAAUAUCGUUUACUCAUGUUGCUUAUGUGAAUAUUAUUGACCCUGGUCUCUUACUGUUCUAUUUCUUGUAAGAAAAGCUUUUCGUAGCCAAGAUGCUGAUAUGUCUGAGAUAGAGAAUUCAUCCAUUUUCACAUUAGUAGUCAGACUUCAGUAACAAGACCAUAAUAUAUGUUUUUCCAAUUUAAGCUAAUAUUAAGGCAUGACUUUACAGUUAUAUUUUUAGAUUACAACCCUUUCGAUGCUGAGGAACAAAGCAUACAUAAGAGAUCAAUUUACAUGGUGGAAGGAAAUUGCAAGAUAUGUUGUCAGGGCAAUGCGAUGGAGACACUCCAGAGGUGGCCACCGCGCCCUAGCAGGAACAACCCCUAGGACGGAGAUUCAUUAAGGGGCCCCUUGCCAUUAUCGGCCUGCGACGAAGAUCUGUGUAGGCUGUAUUGUCUAGGCGGUGGCAGCCUAUCAUGGAGCCACCUACGUGACGACGAACGUGACUAGCAUAUGUUGGUGAAUAACUCAAUGGAGAAUUAUUGGUGAAUGUAAAUUUCAAGGAAAUGAUUAAUUUAACAUUUUUUAUUCAA